rnacentral:lncRNA from 10 species
CUACAGGACCUCCCUGGGAACCUGUUCUCUUUCCUUGUCCUGAUGUGUUACUCUUAUAGGCCAAUUUUUGCCUUUGUGUUGUGCCUAAAUGGUGUAAUUACCCCGUUUUGGGAAGGUGGUAUUAUCCCGUUUUAUCUUGCGGAAACUGAGGGUUAAGAGGAAUGUUAUGAUUUUGUGACUAUUUGUGACAGCUUUUUAAUAUUAGGUCACUUUUAAACCUAUAGCUUCUCUCUUCUAGACCACAUGGUUGAGAAAGGAGAAAGAGAAAAUGAUUACUUGUAGAGAAAAAUCCAUUUCUGCAGUGGUAUGGUUAAGGAUAAUCUAACCAUAAUCACAUUAUCCUUGUAUGCCUGGCUACUUAUGCUGGCCUGUAUGUGAAUGUUAACCCCAAAGACUCCUUUAGAUGUCGCUGAACUAGUUACUAUAAAAAGUAUUUCGCUUUCAAACUCCCACAUUUCAAGAAGAGCAAAACUCAAUACAAGGCAAUUUUGAAGUUUCCCUGAAACCUGGGCUCUUGAAGACGCAUCACUGGAGCAGAUGGAUAAUGGAGACUGGGGCUAUAUG